GGGGUUGUAGCUCAGUGGUAGAGCACUUGCCUAGCACGUGUGAGGCCCUGGGUUCGAUUCUCAGCACCG
rnacentral:tRNA from 1 species